GACGAACGCUGGCGGCGUGCCUAAUACAUGCAAGUAGAACGCUGAAGAGAGGAGCUUGCUCUUCUUGGAUGAGUUGCGAACGGGUGAGUAACGCGUAGGUAACCUGCCUUGUAGCGGGGGAUAACUAUUGGAAACGAUAGCUAAUACCGCAUAACAAUGGAUGACACAUGUCAUUUAUUUGAAAGGGGCAAUUGCUCCACUACAAGAUGGACCUGCGUUGUAUUAGCUAGUAGGUGAGGUAAUGGCUCACCUAGGCGACGAUACAUAGCCGACCUGAGAGGGUGAUCGGCCACACUGGGACUGAGACACGGCCCAGACUCCUACGGGAGGCAGCAGUAGGGAAUCUUCGGCAAUGGGGGCAACCCUGACCGAGCAACGCCGCGUGAGUGAAGAAGGUUUUCGGAUCGUAAAGCUCUGUUGUAAGUCAAGAACGGGUGUGAGAGUGGAAAGUUCACACUGUGACGGUAGCUUACCAGAAAGGGACGGCUAACUACGUGCCAGCAGCCGCGGUAAUACGUAGGUCCCGAGCGUUGUCCGGAUUUAUUGGGCGUAAAGCGAGCGCAGGCGGUUUGAUAAGUCUGAAGUUAAAGGCUGUGGCUCAACCAUAGUUCGCUUUGGAAACUGUCAAACUUGAGUGCAGAAGGGGAGAGUGGAAUUCCAUGUGUAGCGGUGAAAUGCGUAGAUAUAUGGAGGAACACCGGUGGCGAAAGCGGCUCUCUGGUCUGUAACUGACGCUGAGGCUCGAAAGCGUGGGGAGCGAACAGGAUUAGAUACCCUGGUAGUCCACGCCGUAAACGAUGAGUGCUAGGUGUUGGAUCCUUUCCGGGAUUCAGUGCCGCAGCUAACGCAUUAAGCACUCCGCCUGGGGAGUACGACCGCAAGGUUGAAACUCAAAGGAAUUGACGGGGGCCCGCACAAGCGGUGGAGCAUGUGGUUUAAUUCGAAGCAACGCGAAGAACCUUACCAGGUCUUGACAUCCCGAUGCUAUUUCUAGAGAUAGAAAGUUACUUCGGUACAUCGGUGACAGGUGGUGCAUGGUUGUCGUCAGCUCGUGUCGUGAGAUGUUGGGUUAAGUCCCGCAACGAGCGCAACCCCUAUUGUUAGUUGCCAUCAUUCAGUUGGGCACUCUAGCGAGACUGCCGGUAAUAAACCGGAGGAAGGUGGGGAUGACGUCAAAUCAUCAUGCCCCUUAUGACCUGGGCUACACACGUGCUACAAUGGUUGGUACAACGAGUUGCGAGUCGGUGACGGCGAGCUAAUCUCUUAAAGCCAAUCUCAGUUCGGAUUGUAGGCUGCAACUCGCCUACAUGAAGUCGGAAUCGCUAGUAAUCGCGGAUCAGCACGCCGCGGUGAAUACGUUCCCGGGCCUUGUACACACCGCCCGUCACACCACGAGAGUUUGUAACACCCGAAGUCGGUGAGGUAACCUUUUGGAGCCAGCCGCCUAAGGUGGGACAGAUGAUUGGGGUG
rnacentral:rRNA from 2 species